CCUACGGGAGGCAGCAGUGAGGAAUAUUGGUCAAUGGGCGGAAGCCUGAACCAGCCAAGUCGCGUGAGGGAAUAAGGCCCUACGGGUCGUAAACCUCGUUUGCCGGGGAGCAAGGGCGGGGACGUGUCCCGGCCCGGAGAGUACCCGGAGAAAAAGCAACGGCUAACUCCGUGCCAGCAGCCGCGGUAAUACGGAGGAUGCGAGUGUUAUCCGGAUGUAUUGGGUUUAAAGGGUGCGUAGGCGGGCUGUUAAGUCAGCGGUAAAUAUUCGGGGCUCAACCCCGACCGGCCGUUGAAACUGGGGGCCUUGAGUGGGCGAGAAGAAGGCGGAAUGCGUGGUGUAGCGGUGAAAUGCAUAGAUAUCACGCAGAACCCCGAUUGCGAAGGCAGCCCUCCGGCGCCCUACUGACGCUGAGGCACGAAAGUGCGGGGAUCGAACAGGAUUAGAUACCCGGGUAGUC
rnacentral:rRNA from 1 species